GAUGAACGCUGACAGAAUGCUUAACACAUGCAAGUCAACUUGAAUUUGGGUUUUUAACUUAGGUUUGGGUGGCGGACGGGUGAGUAACGCGUAAAGAACUUGCCUCACAGCUAGGGACAACAUUUGGAAACGAAUGCUAAUACCUAAUAUUAUGAUAAUAGGGCAUCCUAUAAUUAUGAAAGCUAUAAGCGCUGUGAGAGAGCUUUGCGUCCCAUUAGCUAGUUGGAGAGGUAACGGCUCACCAAGGCGAUGAUGGGUAGCCGGCCUGAGAGGGUGAUCGGCCACAAGGGGACUGAGACACGGCCCUUACUCCUACGGGAGGCAGCAGUGGGGAAUAUUGGACAAUGGACCAAGAGUCUGAUCCAGCAAUUCUGUGUGCACGAUGAAGUUUUUCGGAAUGUAAAGUGCUUUCAGUUGAGAAGAAAGAAAUGACGGUACCAACAGAAGAAGUGACGGCUAAAUACGUG
rnacentral:rRNA from 1 species